UCUGUUCAUAUCUUCUGCCCAUUUCUUGAUUGGAUUAUUUGUUCUUUGGGUGUUGAGUUUGAGACAUGUGCCUUUGAGAAACAGUGAAACAUUGGUCAAAUUUCUUCAUUUGUACUUGGAUAGAAAAAGUCUGACCAGGGGUGUACUGUAUGGUGACUAACAUAAUAUAAUAAAAAAAAUUAAAAAAAAAAGAAAAAUCUGGAAUAAAUUAGUAGCAUCGAUAACUUUCUGGCAAGGGGAUGAGAUAAGUAUAUGAAAAGAUACUUCAAAUUUUUGUUCUACUUACUUCUGUGCAGUUUGGAUUUUUAAAAAACUGUAAAAAAUGUCCAUGUAGUACUUGUGUUAUUAAAAGCAAAUAAAGUAAUGAAAGCAAGGAAAUAAAA